AGAGAGAGAGAGAGAGAGAGAGAGAGAGAGAGAGAGAGAGAGAGAGAGAGAGAGAGAGAUAGACAGAGAGCAAAUCAAACACUUGACCAGGCGCUAAACUUGUUAACAAUUCAAAAAGUACAAAAUUGUCAUAAAACAAGAGAGAACAAUACGAAUAUUUUAAAGAAAAACAAAAUAUUUAUGUUUUUCCAAAUGCAAAUUUCAGCUUUUCAUUUUACUAACGAAGCAAACACGCGAUUAUGAUUAGGGGGUGAUGAAAUCAGCUCUAUGAAUGGGGGCAGAAAAUCACAGUUGAAUUUUAGGAAAAUGUGAUACGGAAACUUAAAUAUAUGCUUAAAAUACAUCCAAGCGAGGGAAAAAUCUUUUAAAGAAAGCUAAAAAUAUAUUAGCAAUAACGCCUCUAUCGGAGCAGCGCCACGUUCAAAAUUUGUCCAGGUUUCCGCACCAUAUAUAAACACUGAAAUGAUGAGAAUCUUGUAAACUGUGAAAUUAUUCCUGCAAAGAAGAUCUCUAUUAUUCUUAUUGUACUGAGCCACAGUAACGUUAGUUAAUCCCUAAUAUGACAUUAUUUAACACUAUUUACUCAAAUAUCAAUAUUAUUCGGAUAAUAGUUUUUUUCUCCCAAAUUUCUAUAAAUUGUCUAAUUUGUCUUUAGGUAAUUCCCUUUAGGUAAUUCCAACUAAACAAGAGUCAAAAUCUAUUCGAUUUUAUUUAGUGAAUGGAAUGCCUAAACCAAAUGAAAUAUAAAUAGAUUGCGAACUAAUCGAUGCAACUCGCAUUAGUGAUGAAAGAACAAAGCAAAUCUACUCCAAUGACAAAAGGCAACAUUUCUGUUCCAGUGGACGCGGUUUCCUAAACUACUCGAUGUUAACCAUGUGCCCAUAUAAAAUAAGGAAACAAAUAGUCUAAAUCCAACCCCCUCGACUGCCUUGCGUGCUGCACUGAAGCGCGGUGACCCUUGACACCCAAUGAGCAAAGCGGACGGGGAUGCACAAUUCCACAAAUUAAACCAACAAGUAGUUCCGUUUAAUAUGUAGUAUACUAUGCUACAUUUGAGUCAAAAGUUACCUGACCAUAAAACCUGACACGCAUUUAAAUGAUGGGGCAGCAACUCAAAAAAAAAAAAAAAAAAAGGUGGCAGACCAUCAGAAACAGCAGUUGCAACCCCCACAAAUCCAACUCCCAACCCCUCCCAUUCGGCAAGCUUUCUUUUAUUUAUGCCGUUUUGAAGAAGAUAGAAACACAUCAAAUUUGGUAACAAAUUACAUUUGAUGCAUGUAAUAAAAAUCUCGCACAGCUGCAGAGAUGAAACACGUUACAAAAAAUAUAGCAGAAAAUAGGCGUUCACACCGCA